UACGUAGGGUGCAAGCGUUGUCCGGAAUCACUGGGCGUAAAGGGCGCGUAGGUGGUUUGAUAAGGGUGUGGUGAAAGCCCGGGGCUCAACCCCGGGUCUGCCGUGCCGACUGUCAAACUCGAGGGCUGUAGAGGGGGAUGGAAUUCCGCGUGUAGCAGUGAAAUGCGUAGAUAUGCGGAGGAACACCGAUGGCGAAGGCAAUCCCCUGGACCUGUACUGACGCUCAUGCACGAAAGCGUGGGGAGCAAACAGG
rnacentral:rRNA from 1 species